rnacentral:rRNA from 1 species
AUUGAACGCUGGCGGCAUGCCUUACACAUGCAAGUCGAACGGCAGCACGGGUGCUUGCACCUGGUGGCGAGUGGCGAACGGGUGAGUAAUACAUCGGAACAUGUCCUGUAGUGGGGGAUAGCCCGGCGAAAGCCGGAUUAAUACCGCAUACGAUCUACGGAUGAAAGCGGGGGCCCUUCGGGCCUCGCGCUAUGGGGUUGGCCGAUGGCUGAUUAGCUAGUUGGUGGGGUAAAGGCCUACCAAGGCGACGAUCAGUAGCUGGUCUGAGAGAUCGACCACCCACACUGGGACUGAGACACGGCCCAGACUCCUACGGAAGGCAGAAGUGGGGAAUUUUGGACAAUGGGCGAAAGCCUGAUCAAGCAAUGCCGCGUGUGUGAAGAAGGCCUUCGGGUUGUAAAGCACUUUUGUCCGGAAAGAAAUCCUUGGCCCUAAUACGGUCGGGGGAUGACGGUACCGGAAGAAUAAGCACCGGCUAACUACGUG